UACAGGGGGGGCAAGCGUUGUUCGGAUUUACUGGGCGUAAAGGGCGCGUAGGCGGCCUCCGCAAGUCAGUUGUGAAAUCUCCGAGCUUAACUCGGAAAGGUCAACUGAUACUGCGGGGCUAGAGUGCGGAAGGGGCAACUGGAAUUCUUGGUGUAGCGGUGAAAUGCGUAGAUAUCAAGAGGAACACCUGCGGCGAAGGCGGGUUGCUGGGCCGACACUGACGCUGAGGCGCGAAAGCUAGGGGAGCGAACGGG
rnacentral:rRNA from 1 species